AGGACAACGCACAUACUCAAAAGG
rnacentral:siRNA from 1 species